GUGAGGAAUAUUGCGCAAUGGAGGCAACUCUGACGCAGCCAUGCCGCGUGCAGGAAGAAGGCGCUACGCGUUGUAAACUGCUUUUAACCGGGAAGAAACCCCAGGACGUGUCCUGGGUUGACGGUACCGGAGGAAUAAGCACCGGCUAACUUCGUGCCAGCAGCCGCGGUAAUACGAAGGGUGCAAGCGUUAUCCGGAUUCAUUGGGUUUAAAGGGUGCGUAGGCGGAGCGUUAAGUCAGUGGUGAAAUGCAGCAGCUUAACUGUAGACUUGCCAGUGAUACUGGCGCUCUUGAGUGCGCUUGAAGUGGGCGGAAUGUGCCGUGUAGCGGUGAAAUGCUUAGAUAUGGCACAGAACACCAAUUGCGAAGGCAGCUCACUAAGGCGAUACUGACGCUGAGGCACGAAAGCGUGGGGAUCGAACAGGAUUAGAUACCCUGGUAGUCC
rnacentral:rRNA from 1 species